rnacentral:rRNA from 1 species
ACGGAAACGAUACUAGCUUGCUAGUAGGCGUCGAGUGGCGGACGGGUGAGUAACGCGUAGGAAUCUACCUGAUAGUGGGGGAUAGCCCGAAGAAAUUCGGAUUAAUACCGCAUAAUCUAUUCGUAGUAAAGUGGGGGACUUUCGAGCCUCACGCUAUCAGAUGAGCCUGCGUAAGAUUAGCUAGUUGGUAGGGUAAAAGCCUACCAAGGCGACGAUCUUUAGCUGGUCUGAGAGGAUGAUCAGCCACAUCGGGACUGAGACACGGCCCGAACUCCUACGGGAGGCAGCAGUGGGGAAUAUUGGACAAUGGGGGCAACCCUGAUCCAGCAAUACCGCGUGUGUGAAGAAGGCCUGAGGGUUGUAAAGCACUUUCAAUUGUGAAGAAAAGCUAGUGGUUAAUAGCCAUUAGCCUUGACGUUAACUUUAGAAGAAGCACCGGCUAACUCCGUGCCAGCAGCCGCGGUAAUACGGAGGGUGCAAGCGUUAAUCGGAAUUACUGGGCGUAAAGCGUGCGUAGGCGGUUUAUUAAGUCAGAUGUGAAAGCCCCGGGCUUAACCUGGGAACUGCAUUUGAAACUGGUCAACUAGAGUAUGGUAGAGGAAAGUGGAAUUUCUGGUGUAGCGGUGAAAUGCGUAGAUAUCAGAAGGAACAUCAAUGGCGAAGGCAACUUUCUGGACCAAUACUGACGCUGAGGUACGAAU